rnacentral:tRNA from 1 species
GCCUGGGUGGCUCAGUCAGUUAAGUAUCUGACUUCAACUCAGGUCAUACUCUCAUAGCUCAUGGGUUCGAGCCCUGUUACCAGGCU